AUUGAACGCUGGCGGAAUGCUUUACACAUGCAAGUCGAGCGGCAGCGCGGGGCAACCUGGCGGCGAGCGGCGAACGGGUGAGUAAUGCAUCGGAACAUGUCCAUUUGUGGGGGAUAGCCCGGCGAAAGCCGGAUUCAUACCGCAUGAGCCCGAGCGGGGAAAGUGGGGGACUCGCAAGGGCCUCACGCGAAUGGGUUGGCCGAUGUCCGGUUGGCUAGUUGGCGGGGAUAAGGCUCACCAAGGCGAUGAUCGGUAGCUGGUCUCUGAGGAUAAUCAAGCAACGUGGGUUUAAGACACGGCCCAGGAUGCGGCGGGAGGUAGAAGUUGGGCAUUUUGGACAGUGGGGCAAGCCCUGAUCCGGCCAAUCCUCGUGAGUGAUGAGGGCCUUUGGGUUGUAAAGGUCUUUUGUCCGGGGCGACACGGUUGUGGUGAAUAGCCACGACUACGGACGAUACCGGAAGAAUAAGCACCGGAUAGCUACGUGCCAGCCGGCGCCGUAAAAU
rnacentral:rRNA from 1 species